rnacentral:rRNA from 1 species
CAGAUCCUACGGGGCGCAGCAGUGGGGAAUAUUGGGCAAUGGGCGCAAGCCUGACCCAGCAACGCCGCGUGAAGGAAGAAGGCUUUCGGGUUGUAAACUUCUUUUCUCAGGGACGAACAGAUGACGGUACCUGAGGAAUAAGCCACGGCUAACUACAUGCCAGCAGCCGCGGUAAUACGUAGGUGGCAAGCGUUAUCCGGAUUUACUGGGUGUAAAGGGCGUGUAGGCGGGGACGCAAGGCAGAUGUGAAAACCACGGGCCCAACCCGGGGCCU